GAUGAACGCUGGCGGCGUGCCUAAUACAUGCAAGUCGAGCGAACGGACGAGAAGCUUGCUUCUCUGAUGUUAGCGGCGGACGGGUGAGUAACACGUGGAUAACCUACCUAUAAGACUGGGAUAACUUCGGGAAACCGGAGCUAAUACCGGAUAAUAUUUUGAACCGCAUGGUUCAAAAGUGAAAGACGGUCUUGCUGUCACUUAUAGAUGGAUCCGCGCUGCAUUAGCUAGUUGGUAAGGUAACGGCUUACCAAGGCAACGAUGCAUAGCCGACCUGAGAGGGUGUUCAGCCAGGCUGGAGCUGAGACCCGGACCGGACUCCUACGGGAAGCAGCGGUAGGGAAUCUUCCGCAAUGGGCGAAGGCGUGACGGAGCAACGCCGCGUGAGUGAUGAUGGUCUUCGGAUCGUAAAGCUCUGUUAUUAGGGAAGAACAUAUGUGUCAGUAACUGUGCACAUCUUGACGGUACCUAAUCAGAAAGCCACGGCUAACUACGUG
rnacentral:rRNA from 1 species